rnacentral:tRNA from 1 species
GAGGAUGUAGCUCAGUGGAUAGGGUGUUUGCCUAGCAUGCACAAAGCCCUGGGUUCAAUACCCAGCAUUGUAU